rnacentral:rRNA from 1 species
GAUGAACGCUGGCGGCGUGCCUAAUACAUGCAAGUAGAACGCUGAAGGAGGAGCUUGCUCUUCUGGAUGAGUUGCGAACGGGUGAGUAACGCGUAGGUAACCUGCCUGGUAGCGGGGGAUAACUAUUGGAAACGAUAGCUAAUACCGCAUGACAACAGUUAUUGCAUGAUAACUGUUUAAAAGGGGCAACUGCUCCACUACCAGAUGGACCUGCGUUGUAUUAGCUAGUUGGUGAGGUAACGGCUCACCAAGGCGACGAUACAUAGCCGACCUGAGAGGGUGAUCGGCCACACGGGGAGGGGAACCGGGCCCAGGGUCCUCAGGGAGGGAGCAGAAGGGAAUGUGGGGCAAUGGGGGGAAAUCUGGCCGAACAAGCCGGGGGGGGGGAAGAAGGUGUUGGGUGCGGAAAGACUGGUUGUAAGAGAAAAACGGGUGUGGGGGGGGAAGGUGCAACAGGGGAGGGUAUUGUAACAGAAGGGGAGGGCAAAUAAGGG